GACGAACGCUGGCGGCGUGCUUAACACAUGCAAGUCGAACGGCAAGGCACUGAUUUUGUGGGGUGCUCGAGUGGCGAACGCGUGCGUAACACGUGUGUAUCCUGAUCUAGAUUUUCGGAUAACUUCAGGUAACUGGGGUUACUAUCGUAUAGCAGAUCAUGCAGCAUGGUGGGGGUUGGAACGUCUCGGCGGUUGCGGAUGGACUGGCGGAUUAUGAGCUUGUUGGUGGGGUAGUGGCUUACCAAGGCAUUGACGGAUAGCCGGCCUGGGAGGGUGACCGGCGACAAGGGGACUGAGAUACGGACCAGACGGCUACGGUAGACAGCAGGGGCGAAUAUGACACAAUGGGCGGAAGUCUGAGGCAGCAACGUUGCGUUCGGGAUGACGGCCUUCGGGUAGUAAACCGCAUUAGCCUGUGACGAAGCGGGAGUGACGGUAAUGGGUAAAUAAGCACCGGCUAACUACGUG
rnacentral:rRNA from 1 species